GGUCAAGUGAAGAAGCGCAUACGGUGGAUGCCUUGGCAGUCAGAGGCGAUGAAAGACGUGGUAGCCUGCGAUAAGCUUCGGGGAGUCGGCAAACAGACUUUGAUCCGGAGAUCUCUGAAUGGGGGAACCCACCUGGCAUAAGUCAGGUAUCUUGUACUGAAUACAUAGGUGCAAGAGGCGAACCAGGGGAACUGAAACAUCUAAGUACCCUGAGGAAAAGAAAUCAACCGAGAUUCCCUUAGUAGUGGCGAGCGAACGGGGACUAGCCCUUAAGUGGCUUUGAGAUUAGCGGAACGCUCUGGAAAGUGCGGCCAUAGUGGGUGAUAGCCCUGUACGCGAAAAUCUCUUAGUCAUGAAAUCGAGUAGGACGGAGCACGAGAAACUUUGUCUGAAUAUGGGGGGACCAUCCUCCAAGGCUAAAUACUACUGACUGACCGAUAGUGAACCAGUACCGUGAGGGAAAGGCGAAAAGAACCCCGGAGAGGGGAGUGAAAUAGAUCCUGAAACCGUAUGCGUACAAGCAGUGGGAGCCUACUUUGUUAGGUGACUGCGUACCUUUUGUAUAAUGGGUCAGCGACUUAUAUUCAGUGGCGAGCUUAACCGAAUAGGGGAGGCGUAGCGAAAGCGAGUCUUAAUAGGGCGUUUAGUCGCUGGGUAUAGACCCGAAACCGGGCGAUUUAUCCAUGGGCAGGUUGAAGGUUAGGUAACACUGACUGGAGGACCGAACCGACUACCGUUGAAAAGUUAGCGGAUGACCUGUGGAUCGGAGUGAAAGGCUAAUCAAGCUCGGAGAUAGCUGGUUCUCCUCGAAAGCUAUUUAGGUAGCGCCUCAUGUAUCACUGUAGGGGGUAGAGCACUGUUUCGGCUAGGGGGUCAUCCCGACUUACCAAACCGAUGCAAACUCCGAAUACCUACAAGUGCCGAGCAUGGGAGACACACGGCGGGUGCUAACGUCCGUCGUGAAAAGGGAAACAACCCAGACCGUCAGCUAAGGUCCCAAAGUUAUGGUUAAGUGGGAAACGAUGUGGGAAGGCUUAGACAGCUAGGAGGUUGGCUUAGAAGCAGCCACCCUUUAAAGAAAGCGUAAUAGCUCACUAGUCGAGUCGGCCUGCGCGGAAGAUGUAACGGGGCUCAAACCAUACACCGAAGCUACGGGUAUCACUUAGGUGAUGCGGUAGAGGAGCGUUCUGUAAGCCUGUGAAGGUGAGUUGAGAAGCUUGCUGGAGGUAUCAGAAGUGCGAAUGCUGACAUGAGUAACGACAAUGGGAGUGAAAAACUCCCACGCCGAAAGACCAAGGUUUCCUGCGCAACGUUAAUCGACGCAGGGUUAGUCGGUCCCUAAGGCGAGGCUGAAAAGCGUAGUCGAUGGAAAACAGGUUAAUAUUCCUGUACUUCUGGUUAUUGCGAUGGAGGGACGGAGAAGGCUAGGCCAGCUUGGCGUUGGUUGUCCAAGUUUAAGGUGGUAGGCUGAGAUCUUAGGUAAAUCCGGGAUCUUAAGGCCGAGAGCUGAUGACGAGUUGCCAUUAGGCGACGAAGUGGUUGAUGCCAUGCUUCCAAGAAAAGCUUCUAAGCUUCAGGUAACCAGGAACCGUACCCCAAACCGACACAGGUGGUUGGGUAGAGAAUACCAAGGCGCUUGAGAGAACUCGGGUGAAGGAACUAGGCAAAAUGGCACCGUAACUUCGGGAGAAGGUGCGCCGGUGAGGGUGAAGGACUUGCUCCGUAAGCUCAUGCCGGUCGAAGAUACCAGGCCGCUGCGACUGUUUAUUAAAAACACAGCACUCUGCAAACACGAAAGUGGACGUAUAGGGUGUGACGCCUGCCCGGUGCCGGAAGGUUAAUUGAUGGGGUUAGCUAACGCGAAGCUCUUGAUCGAAGCCCCGGUAAACGGCGGCCGUAACUAUAACGGUCCUAAGGUAGCGAAAUUCCUUGUCGGGUAAGUUCCGACCUGCACGAAUGGCGUAACGAUGGCGGCGCUGUCUCCACCCGAGACUCAGUGAAAUUGAAAUCGCUGUGAAGAUGCAGUGUAUCCGCGGCUAGACGGAAAGACCCCGUGAACCUUUACUAUAGCUUUGCACUGGACUUUGAAUUUGCUUGUGUAGGAUAGGUGGGAGGCUUUGAAGCGUGGACGCCAGUCUGCGUGGAGCCAUCCUUGAAAUACCACCCUGGCAACUUUGAGGUUCUAACUCAGGUCCGUUAUCCGGAUCGAGGACAGUGUAUGGUGGGUAGUUUGACUGGGGCGGUCUCCUCCUAAAGAGUAACGGAGGAGUACGAAGGUGCGCUCAGACCGGUCGGAAAUCGGUCGUAGAGUAUAAAGGCAAAAGCGCGCUUGACUGCGAGACAGACACGUCGAGCAGGUACGAAAGUAGGUCUUAGUGAUCCGGUGGUUCUGUAUGGAAGGGCCAUCGCUCAACGGAUAAAAGGUACUCCGGGGAUAACAGGCUGAUACCGCCCAAGAGUUCAUAUCGACGGCGGUGUUUGGCACCUCGAUGUCGGCUCAUCACAUCCUGGGGCUGAAGCCGGUCCCAAGGGUAUGGCUGUUCGCCAUUUAAAGUGGUACGCGAGCUGGGUUUAGAACGUCGUGAGACAGUUCGGUCCCUAUCUGCCGUGGACGUUUGAGAUUUGAGAGGGGCUGCUCCUAGUACGAGAGGACCGGAGUGGACGAACCUCUGGUGUUCCGGUUGUCACGCCAGUGGCAUUGCCGGGUAGCUAUGUUCGGAAGAGAUAACCGCUGAAAGCAUCUAAGCGGGAAACUUGCCUCAAGAUGAGAUCUCACUGGAGCCUUGAGCUCCCUGAAGGGCCGUCGAAGACUACGACGUUGAUAGGUUGGGUGUGUAAGCGCUGUGAGGCGUUGAGCUAACCAAUACUAAUUGCCCGUGAGGCUUGACCAU
rnacentral:rRNA from 1 species